GCCGAGAUGGUGAAACUGGUAGACACGCACGUUUCAGAGGCGUGUGGCCGCAAGGCUGUGUGGGUUCGACUCCCAUUCUCGGCA
rnacentral:tRNA from 2 species